CCUACGGGAGGCAGCAGUGGGGAAUAUUGGACAAUGGGGGCAACCCUGAUCCAGCAAUGCCGCGUGUGUGAUGAAGGCCUUAGGGUUGUAAAGCACUUUCACUGGUGAAGAUGAUGACGGUAAUCAGAGAAGAAGCCCCGGCUAACUUCGUGCCAGCAGCCGCGGUAAU
rnacentral:rRNA from 1 species